GCAAAAUACCAUAGUAACCGUAGCCUGUUUUCCAUCGUCAUUUCAACUAUAUGCUUAAAUAGUAGCAACAAUCAUGAUAUAUGACUAUUCACCAUCUGUAUUGUAUAAAUUACUAGACAACAAAGACAACGACUUGACUAAACUAUUUGUAUUAAUGACUUUUCUGGCAUAGUCAUCCUGACAAUGGUAGUCAUCUCAAAUAUAAGAACAAAUAUUUAAAAUCACAAUUUCUAGUAAGGUGAAAUUGCUCUCGAGCCUUGAUAUAUGAGGAGCUAAAUAGUUAUCGCUACCAUGUAAAUAUGUUCACAAUAUAAUAAUGUUACCAUAAAUAGAUACAUGGUUUAAAAGAUGAUUAUGAAGUUUGAAAACACUAUUCAUGUAGUCCAUAUCAACAGAAUUUAUGUAGGAAGCACAUUAUCGUAUAGUGUUUUUCAACCUACUAUGUAUUACAUUUGUGCUGACUAUACAAAUUGUCAAUGAACGGGUGUACUGUUAUUGUCACAUACAGUUACAAUUUAGCAGAAAAUUUCGAACAUGGGUAACACAUCAGUGAUGGAUUUGAACAAAAUAUUCUAUAUUGUGACUGUGUACUUUGGUAGGUCUUACAGGUAGGUAAAGUUUGUAGCCUUACUAGUUUCCGUCGUUGAAAUUUAAUUUUUCAACAAUUUUCCGGCAACGGUUAUGUUUUCCAGUGAAAUCAACAUCUCGUAUACGGUUUAUUAUUCAUUAUCGGUCGCUGUAGAAACAACAUCAAGCGAUUGAUGAAAAGGAAGAUUAUCAUUUGAUUCCCGUAUUCAAUUCGCUCGAAUCCGACGGAAAAUCGCAGGAAAAACUCCACCGGACAGAGCCUUGGAUCAACUGAUGCUAUCAAGCAAUGCUAAGCAAUAUUUCACCAGGUAUAUUAUCAUUUGAUUUGAUGCGAAAAUAAAAUAGAGUUUAAUGAAA